AAGAAAAUCAGAUUCAAAAAAAAAUAAUAAGAUUUAAGAUAUCACCAUAGGCUAGAAGAACAUUCUGAUCAACAAAGACAAAUGGAAAAAGAGAAGGACAGAACAAACUUCAGAAACGUACUCCAAAAUACCAAAGAAUGAGGCAGAUUGUAGAAAAGCAUCCACAAAUAAACAUAUAGAAUGCCACAAGGCUAUGGGAUAGAGG
rnacentral:misc_RNA from 1 species